CUGGUCGCCAAAUCCAUGCCUUCGUGGUUAUCAAUGGGUUUGAGCAGGACAUGUGUGUUGGGAGCUCUCUAGCUCACAUGUACAUGAGAAGUGGUCAUCUUGAAGAAGGAGAAAGGGUUCUGAGAGGAUUGCCUUUCCUCAAUGUGGUCUCUUGCCAUACUGUGAUUGCAGGAAGAGCACAAAAUGGGGACCCUGAAGGGGCCUUCCACCAUUUCAUCCUCAUGAAGAAUGUCGGAUUGUUGCCAGACCAUGUAACCUUUAUUUCUUUAAUGGAGAAGUUAAUAUACAAUCUUUGACACCGAAAGCGAAGUUGCUAUUUUUAUGCCUCUGAAUCCAGGAAAUUAGAAGAACAGCAGCAACAGGAAGGUCCUGACUUCUCCC